UUGUCUCCUCCUAUUAAAAAACUCUUUUCAUUCUCUCUCUCUGCUUUUCAUUUUCUCCUCCUAUGUUCUAACACCAACAUCACCAUUGAAUUAACCAUGACGGUAGUAACAGGAAUCCUCGACAGCAUUUCUGUGUAGCCAUGGUGGCACCGUCGUGAGCGCCCAUAACUCAGAGAAAAAUCCUAACCUUAUCCAAACAAAUACUUAAA
rnacentral:lncRNA from 1 species